UUGAUUUUAGUAUUUGUGAAGGUACUACGAAUAACAACAAAUAUUAUAGUCAAAAAAAAUUAAAUCA
rnacentral:misc_RNA from 1 species